AGAUGGUUGGCCAGGUCUUUGUGAUACUAGUUUUGCUUUGUUUUCCCAGAGUGCAAUGAGGUCUGAACUCUAAAUAUUUGGAAUUGGAUUUCCCAUGUUUUUUCUGACUGCAACGAGCUCUAAACAUAGAUUGUUUGGAAUCGUAAAGGUUUGGGGAAUUGGGGAGAAAGCUGCUAGAGGAGCACAAAGCAGCGAGGCUUUGCAUGUUUCCCCUUACAUUUGGAAGUUCAGACUAAUGUCAUGUUCUUGGGAAUAAUUUGGGUUGAAGACUCUGUUGCUUCAGUUCAAUCAAUAGAUGGUGAAGUUGUACGUAUAUGGAAAAAGACCCAUCAAUCCUGAACCACAGAAGUGGAUAAGAAUGAGUGGCUGUGGCUUUUUCCCACAGUGAUGACUGGAGAAAAAUAACAAAGUGAUGUGUCAAAAGGGCUGCUGUGGCCGGUACGUGGCCCAGUUUCUGAGUCCAGCAAGAGCUUUCAUAAGAAACAAUAAAGAUAUGCUUGUUUAUUAAUUGUUUUUAAAAAUAAAUUUUUAUUUUUAAAAACAAAAAUGUUUGACAACUUAAAACCAAAAAUAUUUUUUGAUUUUUUAAAACAUAAAAUAAAAAUAUUUUUUAAAAACAUAUUUUAGUUGUGUUGUGUUGAUUCCUUAAAAUUAUUUAAAAAAUAACGACUCAAAUAUAAGGAAUAAUAUUUAAAAAUAAAGGUCUAUAUGUAAAUUUAUUUUUAAAAGUAUUUGGAUAUAUAGAAAACAAGUUAUGAGAAUAUUACAAAUUAAAAAGAUCAAGGUUAUGUUUGGUUCUCGAAAAAUACCAAGGAAAGAAAAAAAAUACAAAGGGAAAUGAUUUUUUCAUAUUUGGUUGUCUUUUAAAAAAUGUAAAAUAAAAUAUAAUAUAUUUAAAACUAAUUAAAAACUUUUAUAUUUUUAAAUUAUUUAAUCUUUAUAUUGAUGAGUUAAAAUAAGUAAAAUGAGUUUGAAGUAACAAAAAAAAUAAUUUAUGGACUUUAAAUCUAUAUUUUAUUUUCCUUUACUUUUUCUUUUCUUCUACUUUUCUUUUAUAUUUUCUUUCUCUUGUAUUUUUUCUCAAUUUUUUUGGGAAUCAAACAUAGCAUAAAAGUAUCCUACAAUUAAGAAUUUUUCUUUUAGGCUAUGUUUGGUUCUUGAAAAAUAUUAGGGAAAGAAAAAAAAUAUUGAGGAAAAUGAUUUUCUCAUGUUUGGUUUUCUUAUAAAAAAUAAAAAAGAAAGUUAAAUAUAAUUAAAAUUAUUAAGAGAUUUGCAUAUUUUUAAAUUAUUUAAUUUUUAUAAAGAAGAGUUAAAUGAAUAAAAAAAUAUUUGAAAUGGUAUAUAAAACUAAUUUAUUUAUUUUAAAUCUAUUUUUUAUUUUUCUUCACUUUCUCUUUCUUUUUUACUUUUCCUCUUUAUGUUAUUUUUCUUAUAUUUUCCCUCAAUUUUUUCGGAAUCAAACAUAGCUUUAGAAAAGGAUUAUUUUUCUACCAAACUUGGGAAAUGAAACAUUCUUCAUCAUCCUUUGCUUGUGUAGGUGAAAAAGCCAAAAUGGUGUACUACACAAAACAAAAGUUUAUAAACAUAUGCUCCCAUUACCCAAUAGGAGAGAAGUGAAAAUCUCUUCCUUGAUGCAGUUGUAAAACUGCAUGCUAGAGAAUAAAUCAACCUGCAGGCUGCUCUAUAUAUAGAGACAACCAACCACCAUUUGUAUACUUAAAAAUCAGUAAUGAAUUCAACACAGGGACCGUUGCGUAGGGCUGGUGGGAAAGUAAUCACCAUACUUAGCAUUGAUGGAGGAGGGGUCCGAGGCAUUAUCCCUGCAGUCAUCCUAUCCGCCCUUGAGGCCCAACUUCAGGUUUUCUCUUCUUUUUAUUCUUUUCAAAAUUGUAGUGCCGCAGAUUACCAUUCGGUACUGGCAGAUGGAGUACUUGCUAAAGCCAAAAGGAUAAAUAGACAUACAUCCAUGGAUUGCCGGGAUAUGAUAUGAUAUGUGACCCACCAUCUCUUAUGUGGUAUAUCUUAUUUCUUAUCAUAUCCCAUAUUAUAUUCAACAUACCAAACAUACUAGUACUGGACAGCUUAGGUGAAUUGAUUCAUUAAACAGACAGGGUGAAUUGACAAGGAAAGAAACAAUUUCAUGACUUUGUUAUAUGUUGUUGCAAACAGAGAAUUGAUGGCCCUAACGCCAGGAUUGCGGAUUACUUUGAUGUCAUUGCUGGAACAAACACAGGAUCAAUUGUUACAGCCUUGCUUACAACCCCAUAUACCCCUCCUAAUCCUCCUUCAUAUGCAUCCAAAACAGAUCCUCCUUCACUUGCAUCCCAAACAAAUGCUCCUCCAAAUGCAUCCAAAGCAAAUCGUCCCCGCGAAGCAAAAGAGAUCCCAGGGUUCUACAAGAAGCAUGGCCCGUCAAUCUUUCGUAGGGAUAAAGCCCCUGUCCAUACCAGGUACAGUAAAACUGUGUGAAAGGAAGAGAAAAAGCAAGAAGGGAUCAGUGAGAUCUUAAUCCAAAUUUCCUUGUGGUUAACAGCAACUCAGAUGAUUGGUGGAGUGCUUUGGUAGGAUUCCUGAAGAAGCAGCUGCAGGACACAUUGGACUUUCUCCUAAGCGUCAGAUAUGAUAAUUCCAAACUUCAGCUCAAAGUGGAUGAAGAGCUGGGGAAAAUUCAGUUGGCUGACACGCUAACUAAUGUUCUUAUCCCUGCUUAUGACGUUGAACACCUUAAACUAGUCACCUUCUCUUCUCACCAGGUUAUCUCUUGUUUCAAUUUUUUACAUGAUUCUCCAUAUCAUAAGACUUCUGGGCCUAUAAUCCAUGUCGCUUUUAUGGUUGCAGGAUAAAAAUAAGGUGCCAAAGUCAUCAGUACUAUUGAGAGACGCAGUUUUGGGCUCAGCUGCAGCUCCAAUUUCUUUCCGAUGUCAUCAUUUCGAAGCUGAUGGCAAAAUUUACAACCUUGUGGAUGGUGGAAUGGGAGCCAACAAUCCUGUAAAUCAUCUUCAUACACAGGCCUUUAUGGAAUCAUAUUUUCAAGAUUUGUUGCCGUUUGUAUACACAAUUCAUUCUUCAUAUUCUUCAUACUUGAUGAAGCUGUCACUUCUGUGCAGACAUUGCUUGCAAUACGUGAAGCAAUCAAUAUAUUUGGAAACCGAGGUGAUAAUAGGUUCCUGAUCAUCUCCCUUGGUACUGGCGCUGAAGGAGAACAUCAUGACUUCGUCGAUUUAGACGGUCCAGUUCGUUGGAUAUUAGACCUUAAGAGAGGUACACCGCCAUUGGCCAGCGUGCUGUUUGAGACAUCAGCUGACAUGGUAGAUACAUACACAUCGAUUUUCCUUGGAGGUAGCCAGAAUUCUCGUCAUCGGUUUCUCCGAAUCCAGGUAAAUGCACUUCAAUAUAGGUAUAAUUAGAGAUUAUUGCUGACCAAUCCAAACCAGCUCCCAUGUACAUCACUAAAGAACAGAAAAAUUGAACCAGGACUAUACAUUGAAGCCUGAGCAGCUCACAAUGGAUAAUGCAACUGAUGAAAAUUUCAAGAACCUGACUAAUAUCGCUAAUAGACUUCUAGACAAGCCUGUUUCUUUCCCUAGCUCGUGGUUUGGUCUAGAGCCAACGACUACCAACAGAGGCGCUCUCGGGAGGUAAGAGCUAACAGGAAAUUAAUGUGAUUUACAAUUGGAUGCUUAGAUUCAUUAUUCACUUUGCUCCCGUCCUCAUAUCAUCACCCAUUUUUACGGGAUGCUGGUUGUCAUUCCUCCCUUGCAGAUUUGCUAGAGACCUGUCCAGGAUAAGGGUUGAUUCUGCUAAAAGACUGUCAAGAAGAUAAGUGGUGAUUCUACUAAAAAACUGUCUGAUGAUAAGAAGACAAGUGGUAGUUCUUCGUCCUAUGGCACUGGCUUCUUAAUGUAUUCAAUCAUUCCUCUUCUGUUUCUCCUUUUUUCUUACAAGCUAUAUGUUAUGUUUCACCAUUAGAUGGAGGAAAAAAACUCUUUGAAUUUGAUGUCUAGGGAUAUAGUUGUUGGUAGUCCCUGUGAAAAAUAAUGGAUGUACAAUCCACAUCUUAAGAAAUAAAGCUCUUUCAGAUGAGCUAUUCCUCACAGCAGCACUGCAAGACAUCAUGUAAGUAUAAAAGAUGUAUUAUGACAUGGGGCCACAUGACCAUUAAAUAAAUGAAUCUAAUUAAGGUUGUUGCAGUUGCUUUGUUCAUAUGGUCUACAUAUAAAAUGUUAUUCAUGAUAGGUGAUGCUUUUAAAUUAAAAGUCUAUUUGACAGUGAUUAUAAGAAGUGUUUCUAUCCUUUUUAAUAUUUGGAAAAUAAAAAAUUAUAAGUAUUAGAAAAAUUAAAAUCGUUUUUUAGAAUCACUAUCAAAUGGGCUCUAAGAGUCUGUUUGAUAGUGCUUUUAAAAAACACUUCUAUAAUAAGAAACGAUUUUAAAAAAGGAAUCAAGUGUGUGGUAAAAUUUAAAAAAUUUGAACUGUUAAAUGCACUCUAAUUCACAUAAGCACAGGAUGAUGUGCAGCUCCAAUGCUUGGGAAGUGCGGAAUCUAUUUUUAUGGGAUGAUCCAAACCCCUGCUACCUUACGAAAAGGACUCGAAAAAUACCAAAAUGGUGUACUCAAAACAAAAGUUAACAUGUGCUCCCACAUUGAGGAAAGUGAUUCCCCUCAGGAGUGAGGUGUGAAAAACAUGUAUACAAAAGGUAGAAUCAAGGCUAGAGAGAAGAACCAUACUGCGUUGGCCAAACGCCACCAUAUCUCUUCCUUGCUACAGUUUAGUUUAACUGCCAAAAAACAAAUCAACCUCCACACUGCUCUAAAUAUGAAGACAACAAACCAACCUCCUUCUCCACUUCCACAUAAUGGCUUCACCACAGGGAGCAAGGCCUAGGACAAAUGGGAAACUAACUACCAUACUUAGCAUUGAUGGAGGAAGGAUCCGAGGCAUUGUGCCUGCAGUCAUCCUGAAGGGUCUGAGGCCCAACUUCAGGUUUUCUCUCGCCAUAGCAUUUUCCUUUUCACAUUGAGAGUAAUGCUAAUUUUUUUCCCCUACCAUUUGGAAAGAAAAUUUAAAUGGCAUGCCAAAAUUGUAGUUCAGCAAUUACCAUCAUAUACUGGCAGAUAGACUAUUUUUUAAAGCCUAAAGGGUAUAUACACAUGCAUGUAUAGGUCAAUACUCAGUCCCUAUGGUUUGAUUGGCGGGAUAUCUCAACACCCCAUGUCUUAUCUCUGAUCUUUCAUCGCAUCUCAUAUUAUAUGUAACAUUGAAAAAAGACUAGUAAUGGUGCAUAUCUUGGAGAGUAGAGGUGAAUUGAUAAGGGAGAAAACAAUUUUGUGACUUUUGUUAUAUGUUGUUGCGAACACAGAGGCUUGAUGGCCCUGAUGCCAGGAUUGCAAAUUAAUUUGAUCUCAUUGCGGGCACAAGCACAGGGUCAAUUGUUACAGCCUUGCUUACAACCCCAUAUCCACUUCCUAAUGAUUCAAAUGGAUCCAGAACAAAUUGUCCCCGCCAAGCAAAAGAUAUCCAAAAAUUCUACAAUGAGCAUGGCAUGGAAAUAUUUGCUAAGAAAGAAGACCCUGUUGAAACAAGGUACACUGAAACUGUGUGAAAGGGAGAGAAAAAGCAAGAAGAGCGUAAGAUCUUAAUCCAAAUUAAUUUCCUUGUGGUUAACAGCAAAUCAGAUAGCUUGCUCACUCGGUUGACAGAAUUGAUAGUUUCCGGGGCGGAGACGGUGUUGAACUUUCUCCUAAACCACAGAUAUGGUCCUUCCCAUCUUAGUGAGAAAGUGAAUGAACAGCUGGGGGAAAUUUGAUUGGCUGACCCACUAACUAAUGUUCUUGUUCCUGCUUUUGAUAUUCAACACCUUAAACUAAUCACCUUCUCUUCUCACCAGGUCGUCAAUUUUUUACAUGAUCAAACAUUAGUAUUCAUUCUUUUCAUAUUUGUAUUUUCCAUAGCAUAAGACUCCGAGCCUAUAAUGUUGGUUUUAAAAUCCACCCUUGUGUAGACAUAAUGUCCUGGUCAUAUUCCAUAGGAUUGCAAGGCCACACCAAUAGAUACAGGGUUGGGGAUCAACAAUCAUGUAGAUAUUGUUCUUUUUAGGCCAAAUGGUCUCAUGAUUUCAAAACACAUCUACAUGAUUAAGAGGAGCUCUGUAGGUUUUGAUAGAAACAGAGUGUGGAAACUCUUUGGAAGCAAUAGAACGUUGAGGAAUCUGAAGUUGUCAAUUUUAUUAAGCUUCAAAGCACUUAUUUAUACAGCUAGCUUAAAACAGAAAAAUAUAAAAAUAGCAACAAACUUGCUACCUAUAGAUAAUUCCUAAAGAAUAGAAACAACCAACAAACUUCCUAAGGAAUAGGUAAAUCUUUCACAUGACUAACUUAUUUGACUACUUCCACUUCAAUCUACUCAGCUCCAUGUCAACAGCUCCUAUGACAUGUCAUUCAACACUCCUCCUUGUCUUUGGAGCUGCAAACUCCAAGCCUUUGCCUUAAGAACUCAUAUCUAGCUUUGGGAAGUGGUUUGGUUAAGAUAUCAGCAUUCUGACUUUCUGUUUUGUAGUAGACCAACUGAAUUUCUCCCUCCUUCUGUACCUCUCUUAGGAAAUAGAGUUUCAGCUUGAAAUGUUUUGUUUUUCCAUGGAACACCGGAUUAUUUGCAAUUGAAAUUGCAGCUUGGUUGUCUACGAGUAUUUGUGUGCUUUCCUUUUGCUCCAUAAACAAGUCAGCCAUUAAUUUUCUAAUCCAGAGAGCCUGAUUCACAGCAGCGGCAGCAACUACAUAUUUUGCUUCUGCUGUAGAUUGAGCUAUGACUUCUUGCUUUUUGGAACACCAUGAAAAAAUAGCAGAACCAAAGCUGAAACAAUAACCUGAAGUACUUCUCAUGUCAUCAACACAACCUGCCAAUCACUAUCUAAAUAACCAUGGAGAGUAAAGUUUUUAACUUGACAAAACCUCAAACCAUAGUCAAUUGUACCCUUGACAUAUCUAACAAUUCUUUUUGCUGCUUGAAAGUGAAUUUCACUAGCACAAUGCAUGUACCUUGAGAGUAAACUUACAACAUUCAUAAUAUCUGGUCUAGUUGCUGUUAGGUACAUCAAGCACCCAAUAAUGGUCCUGUAAAGCCUUUCAUCAGCUUUUGCAGCUCCAUCUUUUUUGCAAAACUUCUCAUUUUGAUUCAUUGGAGUUGCACUUGGAUUGCACUCUUCCAUCUUGAACUUUUUCAGGAUUUCCUUGGCAUAUUUUUGUUGACAUAUGAAGAUCUCAUUUUGCUUUUGUUGUACUUCCAUGCCAAGAAAGAAUGUCAUCCUCCCAAGAUCAGUCAUCUCAAAAACAUCCUUCAUUUCCUUUUUGAAAUUGUCAAUUUGCUUCAUACUACUUCCUGUCACAAGUAGAUCAUCAACGUAUAAAGAUACCACAAGUGUUUCAUCACAAACCUUCCUGAAGUAUAGAGUAAAUUCACUUAGGCUUUUUGUAAAGCCUAAGCCUAACAAAUGUGAAUCAAUCCUACUGUACCAUGCCCUUGGUGCCUGUUUUAAACCAUACAAGGCCUUUUUCAGCAAAUAUACUUUCUUCUCCAUUCCUUUAACAAUAAAACCUUCAGGCUGCUCCACAAAAAUUUCUUCCUCCAAGUAUCCACUCAAGAAGGCUGAUUUGACAUCCAUCUGAUGUAUAUUCCAACCUUUUUGAGCAGCAAGAGCCAGCAACAUUCUUAUAGUGUCCAAUCUAGCAACUGGGGCAAAAGUCUCAGAGAAAUCCACCCCAAACAUUUGAGCAUAUCCUUUGACAACCAGUCUUGCCUUGUGUUUGUUUAUAGAACCAUCAGAAUUGAGUUUGGUUCUAUAAACCCACUUGACUCCAAUUGCCCUUUUGUGUCUUGGUUUGUCCAUUAGCUCCCAAGUUUGGUUUUUUUCAAUCAUUUUAAGCUCCUCCUUCAUUGCAUCCAUCCAUUUUUUAUCAACUGCAGCUUCUUCAUACCUUGCAGGCUCUAUUAUAGCAAUAUUGCACCUCUGAUAGAUGUCAGAGAGUGAUCUGGUUCCCCUGACAGGUUUAUCAUUAAUAUUGGCAUUCUCCUCCUGAAACUCAAGCUUUUUAUCAUUCUCCCAACUCCAACUUUCUGAUUCGAAGAAUUUGAGAUCUCUGCUAACUAUGACUUUGUUGUUUUCUAGAAGAUAGAUUCUAUAGGCCUUUGAUAUUGAGCUAUAGCCUAUAAAGAUCCCAACUUCUGCUUUCUUAUCCAAUUUGUCUCUCUUAACAUGUGGAAUAUAAGAGAAACAAAGACAACCAAAUGUUUUUAAAUUUUGCAGCCUUGGUUUAUAGCCAUACCAUGCUUCAAAUGGAGUCUUUUGUUGCAAAGCUUUUGUUGGCAGUCUAUUUAGCAGAAAGACUGAUGUAUGUGCAGUCUCAGCCCAGAAUUUCUUUGGCAGCCCUUUCUCAUGCAGCAAACACCUUGUCAUUUCCAUCAUAUUCCUUCUUCAAGAAGUUCCAUAUUUCAUUUGCUGUCUUCAGUGUCAUUAUUCUGGUGAAAAUUGUGGAUGAGACAGCUGCAAAUAAACUAGCUUUUGCCUUUGAUUUCCUUUGCCUCCUCUCAUUGUGUAAUUUUAUCUGAGCCAUAGUUGGAUUGUCGGACAGAGGAGGAACUUCAUAUUCCUCACUAACAGCUUCCCACAGAUCACUAGCAUCAAGGUAGGCUUCCAUACGGACAACCCACACUUGAUAAUUUAUUCCAUCAAACACUGGAGGGGCUAGUGCAUUCAGUGAAGCUUCUGAGGUCAUUUUGGAUAUUGUUUGUAGGUUUUUUAGGCUCACUCACCUCACAAGUUACUCAAGAACCUAGCUCUGAUACCAGAUUUGUAGGUUUUGAUAGAAACAGAGUGUGGAAACUCUUUGGAAGCAAUAGAACAUUGAGGAAUCUGAAGUUGUCAAUUUUAUUAAGCUUCAAAGCACUUAUUUAUACAGCUAGCUUAAAACAGAAAAAUAUAAAAAUAGCAACAAACUUGCUACCUAUAGAUAAUUCCUAAAGAAUAGAAACAACCAACAAACUUCCUAAGGAAUAGGUAAAUCUUCCACAUGACUAACUUAUUUGACUACUUCCACUUCAAUCUACUCAGCUCCAUGUCAACAGCUCCUAUGACAUGUCAUUCAACAAGCUCAUAUAUAGAUACAGCGUUGAGAACUUUUGUCAUUUCUGUUGUGGGAGGAUAUCACAUAUGAUGCAGGUUGCAUUUAUGGUUGCAGGUAAGAAAGGCAAACUCAUCAACAAAAUUGAGAGAUGUAGUUAUGAGCUCAGCUGCAGCUCCAGUUUAUUUCCCAUCGCGUAAUUUCAAAGCUGAUGGCAGACUGCACAACCUUGUGGAUGGUGAACUUGCAGCCAACAAUCCUGUAAAUGUUCUUCAUACACAGGCCUUUAUGGGACCAUAUUUUAAAGAUUUGUUGCCAUUUGUAUACACAAUUCAUUCAUCUUUCUUUGUGAAGCUAUCCCUUACUGCGCAGACAUUGCUUGCAAUAAAAGAAGCAGCCCACAUAUUUGGAAACCGAGAUUAUAAUAACUAUCUGAUUGUCUCCCUUGGUUCUUGCUCUGAAGAAGAACAUCACAACUUCAUUGAUUUAAAGGGUCCACUUCCUUGGAUAAUAGACCUGAAGAGAGGAACACCACCCUUGGCCAACGUGCUGUUUAAGACAUCAGCUGACAUGGUAGAUGCAUACACAUUAUUUGUCCUUGGACUUGGAGUUGGAGGCCGGAUUUCUAGUCAGAACUUUCUCCGGAUCCAGGUAAUUAAAUGCACUUAUAUGAAAUAGAUUAGCAAUCCAAACAAGCUCCCAUUGAAACUGAUCAGAGAUCAAGAUAUAGGAGUGAAUUGUAUCAGAUUGAUCUCAAUUUUUACAUUACUAAGGAAAAGAAAAUUUGAACCAGGACAAUACAUUGAAGCCUGAGCAGCUCAAAAUGGAUGAUGCAAUAAAGAUAACUUUGAUACCCUGAUUGAUAUCGCUCAAAGACUUCUAGAGAAGCCUUUUCAUUCCCUAGCUUGGUGAUUAAUUGGUCAACAAUUACCAAUGACUACCAACCGGGAUGCUCUCAUGAGAUAAUGAGCUAACAGGAAAGGUGAUUUAUUGCAAAAAGCAUUUGUAGCCUUUCUAACAUUUGAAAACAAUUCUUUUGAUAAAAAUUUCAAGAGUCAAAAAUAUUAAAAGUGUUUCCGGUAGGGUUAUUUGAUUAAAAAGUAAUUGAAAACUCAAUUUUCAAAAUUUAACCCUUCAUCCUUUUUUGACCUCAUUUUAACAAAAAUAUUCAUAUUGUUUUCUUGUAAGAAACAUUUAUAUAAAAAAUAAGUUACUCUUCAAACAAAAGUAUAAGAGGGGAUAAAUUUACAAAUAUGGGAUUAUGUCAUCCCUUUUAACCAAUUAUUUCUUUCUUAUAAUCACCAUCAAAUUGAUUUUUACAAUUAGUUUACGAGUCAUGGUUCACUUUGCUGCAUCUUCAUCUCAUCACCAUUUUUACUACAUAUUGGUUGUGAUUUCUCUCUUGCAACUUUGCUACAAUACUCUCCAGUGAAAAGAAGAGGAGGGUAGUUCUUCGUCCUAUGUCUUUGGCUUUUUAAUGUAUUCAACCAUUUAUUUUAUUUUUCUCCUUUUUCUUUACAAGCUUUGUAUUUUGUUUUACCAAUAAGAAGAGAAAAAAACACUUUGAAUUUGAUGUAUGGGAAUAUGGUUAUUGUUGGUCCUAUGAGAAAUAAUGGAUGUGAAUUCUAUGUCUUAAUGAAUAAUUCUCUUUCGAAUGGAGUUAUUCUUCACGGUAGUACCCUAAAUCUUGACAUCAUUUAUUCAAUAUAAAAUAUGUAUUAUAACAUGGGGGGUAAGGGUGGCAAUUCGUGACAAUGGUUGUAUUUAUGUUGUGUCAAAGAUUAUAUAUAUGCCAAAUAAGUCAUUUCAAACAUUGUACAGAUAAUAAUUACAUUAAAAAUAUAAACUCAUAUACUUCAUAAUUAUUAAACAGGUAGUAUGUCAUAUAGUUCAUGUAACUAAUUUAAUAAUCAAGUUGAUUUAAGUUUUAUAAUGUUUGUAUGGUUAAUGUUCCAACAUAUAUGUUUAUGAUUUAAUUGAUUUAUUUAUUUAAAAUAAGUAAAAUAUGAUUAAAUAUUUUAAAAUUAUAAUUAGGUUAAUCCACGUGAUUAUUAAAAUGAAGAUGAAAAUUUUAAUUUUUCCCCUCUUCCCUUGUUACCUUCCUAUUAUUUUUUCCCUCUUUGUGUGUCCUGUUAAUUAAGUUAUGAAAAAUAGUUUUUAUAAACACGUACAAAAAAUUUAUUCAUGAAACAUAGAAACCAAUAAAAAAAACUAAGACUUUAUUUGGAAAGUAUUUUUGAAAAUAAUUUUGAAAAAUAAUUUUGGAAAAUAAGACCCUCAAUUAUUGUUUAGAAAAGCUUUUUGUUUUUAAAAAUAAAAAAGUAGAAAAAUAUGUUUGACAAUCAAAGGAUAAAAAACAAUAUGUUUGUUCUUAAAAACAUAAAACAUAGUGUUUUUGGACAAUAUAUUUUAAUUAUUUUCUUAAGGGUGUUUAAAAAAUAAUUAUAUAAAUAUAGAGAAUGAUUGAAAAUAAAACAUUACAUUAAAAUCGUGCUUAAUAAAUAUUUGAAAACACAGAAAAUCAAUUAAAGACAUUCUAAGUUCUUAAAUAAAAUUUUGUUUUUGAAAGCAUUAGAGAAUUGUUUUUAAUACCGUCAACCAACUCUAACUUUUCAGACAUCCUCCAAGCUAUUAUUCAAAAUAAUAAAGAAACUUAAAGAUUUGUUUACUAAAUGUUUUCAAAAAAAAAAAAAAAAUCUUGUUGAGAAAAAACAAAAGGAAAACAUGUUUGGUAUCUAAAAAACAAAAAACAAUUUUUUUUUUUAAAAAAAGGGAAACAUGUGUUUUUUAAAACAUAUUUUAAUUGUUUUUCACUUGAUUUCCAAUAGCUGCUUACAAAAUAAUGACACGAAUACCAUGAAUAAUUUAAAAUAAAGUACUCUAUGAAAAUUUAUUUUUAAAAAAUAUUUGGAAACAUAGAAAAGAAGUUGAAAACAUUACAAGUUGCCAAAACAUUUUUGUUAUGAAAACAACAUUGGUUGUGAAAAAUUGAUGUUUUUUUUGUAAUAGUUUUCGAAAACGUUCCAACAGAUGGGGAGGUGUCUGCACUGAAUAGAUAGUGGAGAUGUUUAAUCCCCACGCAAGGGAGCAGGUGCCACUUGCCAGAAGGUUCAUCCCUCAAGUGAAGGCAGAAAAGGGAAACCAGAAGUGGGAAAUGCAGCAUCAGCAUCAUUCUUCAUUGUCCUUUGCUUGUUUAGGUGAAAAUGCCAAAAUUGGUGUUGUACUCAAUACUCCCAUUCCUCAAAUUGGAGAGAAGUGAUUCCCUCAAGUGUGGAAAAGACGUUUGGAUUCAUUUCCACAGCAUUAGGAAAUACAAAAGGUAGCUAGAAUCAAAGUCAAAGAAAAUCUCUUGCUUGCUACAGGUAUAAAACUGGAUGCCAAAGAAUAAAUCAACCUGCAGGCUGCUCUAUAUAUAGAGACAACCAGCCAACCUCCUUCCUCACUCCUGCAUACAUACUCUUUGAACCACCAUUUGCAUACUUAAAAGGAUUCCAUAACUAUCACUAAUGGCUUCAACACAGGGAUCGUCGCCUACGACCAACAGGAAAGUAAUCACCAUACUUAGCAUUGAUGGAGGAGGGUUCCGAGGCAUUAUCCCUGCAGUCAUCCUAUCCGCCCUUGAGGCCGAACUUCAGGUUUUCUCUUACCAUAUCCUUUUGUCAUUUCACAUUCUUAUUUUUUUCAAAAUUGUAGUGCUGAAAAUUACCAUCAGCUACUGGCAGAAGGCGUACUUGCUAAAGCCAAAAGGGGUAUAUACAUAUACAUGCAUGAUUUGAUUGGCAGGAUAUGAUAUGUCACCGGUCUCUUAUCUCUUAUCUCUUAUCGCAUCCCGUAUUGUAUGUAACACACCAAAAAGAUUAGUAAUGGUGCAUAUCUUGGAGAGUUGAGGUGAAUUGACAAGGGAAAAAACAAUUUUGUGAUUUUUGUUAUAUGCUGUUGCAAACAGAGACUUGAUGGCCCUGAUGCCAGGAUUGCAGAUUACUUUGAUCUCAUUGCGGGCACAAGCACAGGGUCAAUUGUUACAGCCUUUCUUACAACCCCAUAUCCACUUCCUAGUGCUUCAAAUGGAUCCACAACAAAUCGUCCUUGCGAAGCAAAAGAUAUCCAGCAGUUCUACAUUGAGCAUGGCCCGGAAAUAUUUGCAAAGGAAGAAGACCCUGUUCAAACCAGGUACAUUGAGACUGUGUGAAUGGGAGAGAAAAAAGCAAGAAGAGCGUAAUAUUUUAAUCCAAAUUAAUUUCCUUGUGGUUGACAGUAAAUCAGAAAGCUUCCUCGAUGGGUUGAAACAUUUGAUUGUUCAAGGGGUGGAGAAGGUGCUGGAAUACAAAUAUCGUCCAUCCCGUCUUAGUGAGAAAGUGGAUGAACAGCUUGGGAAAAUUCGGUUGGCUGACACACUAACCAAUGUUCUUGUUCCUGCUUAUGAUAUUCAACACCUAAAACUAGUCACCUUCUCUUCUCACCAGGUCAUCAAUUUUUUUACAUGAUCAAGCAUUAGUAUUCAUUCUUCUCAUAUUUGUAUUUUCCAUAGCAUAAGACUCUGGGCCUAUAAUGCCGGCUUUAAAAGCCUUCUACAUGAUCAGCUCAUGCAAACAUGACGUCUUAGUUGUGUCCUAUAGGUUUCCAUAGCAUAAGACUACAGGCUUAUAAUGUUGGCUUUAAAAUCCAUCCUCGUAUAGGCAUAACAUUCUCAUCAUGUUUCAUAGGAUUGCAAGACCAAGCUGACAAACAUGGGGUUGUGGAUCGACUUUGAUAUCAUUUGUAAUAACUGCCUUUCAAUCAUAUAGAUAUUGUGUCUUUUAGGCCAAGGGGUCUUAUGGCUUUAAACACAUUUAUAUAAUUGAAAGGAGCUUGUGUAUAUAUAUAAUAUUAUAAUUUUUUUUUCCUUAUCUGAUAUGGGACAUGACAUAUGAUGCAUGUUGCAUUUAUGGUUGCAGGCAAGAAAGGCAGACUCAUCAGUAAAAUUGAGAGAUGUAGUUAUGAGCUCAGCUGCAGCUCCAGUUUUUUUCCCAUCUCAUAAUUUCGAAGCCGAUGGCAGAAUGUACAACCUUGUGGAUGGUGGAGUCGCAGCCAACAAUCCUGUAAAUCCUCUUCAUACACAGGCCUUUAAGGGAUCAUAUUUUCAAGAUUUGUUGCCAUUUGUAUACACGAUUCAUUCAUCAUACUUGAUGAAGCUGUCCCCUCUGUGCAGACAUUGCUUGCAAUACAAGAAGCAGACCAUAUAUUUGGAAACCGAGAUUAUAAUUAUCUGAUUCUUUCCCUGGGCACUUGCUCUGAAGAAGAACACCAGAACUUCAUUGAUUUAACGGGUCCACUUCCUUGGAUGAUAGACCUUAAGAGAGGAACACCACCAUUGGCCAACGUGCUGUUCAAGACAUCAGCCGACAUGGUAGAUGCAUACACAUUAUUUGUCCUUGGAGUUGGAGGCCGGAUUUCUAGUCAGAACUUUCUCCGGAUCCAGGUAAUUAAAUGCACUUACAUGAAAUAGUUGAGCAAUCCAAACAAGUUCCCAUUAAAACUGAUCAAAGAUCAAAGAUAUAGGAGUGAAUAUUAUCAGAUUGAUCUCAAUUUUUACAUUACUAAGGAAAAGAAAAUUUGAACCAGGACAAUACAUUGAAGCCUGAGCAGCUCACAAUGGAUGAUGCAAGUAAAAAAAACUUCGAAAGCCUGAUUGAUAUCGCUCAAAGACUUCUAGAGAAGCCUGUUUCUUUCCCUAGCUUGGUGAUUGGUCUGCAACCAAUGACUACCAACAGAAAAGCUCUCAUGAGGUAAUGAGCUAACAGGAAUGGUGAUUUAGAGCAAACAGUGUUUCUAGCUUUUCUAACAUUUGAAAACAAUUCUUUUGAUAAAAAUUUUCAAAUGUUAGAAAGGUUAGAAGUAUUUCCUAUAAUCACCAUCAAAUCAAUUCUUAUAAUUGGUUUACGAGUCAUUGUUCACCUUGCUGCCAUCCUCAUAUCAUCCCCCAUUUUUACUAGAUAAUGAUUAUUAUUUCUCCCUUGCAGCUUUGCUAGAUUAUUGUCUGAAGAAAAGAAGAGGAGGGGUGGUUCUUUGUUCCACGUCUCUGGCUUCUUAAUGUGUUCAAUUAUUUCUUCUCUUUUUCUCCUUUUUCUUUACAAGCUUUAUAUGGUGUUUUACCAAUAAAUAAAAAAAGAAAAAUUCUUUGAAUUUGAUGUCUGGGAAUAUGGUUAUUGCUUGUCCCUAUUAGAAAUAAGGAAUGUACAUUCUGUUAAAAUCUGGAGAAAAAUAAGGAACUAAAACUUGCAGAAAAUAUUAGAGUAUUGAGUUGGAGAAAGGCACACAAUAUUUCACCAAUGAGAAUGCCUAUUUAUAGGCUUACAACCAAACUGAAAAUGCUAAAAACUCUCAACUGCUAUGACUACUUCUACUAACAGAAAAACUGAAAAUUAUGGAGCAUAACAGAGACUGAGUCUAACUAAGACAUUUUCAAAGGCAAACUCUCAUGAAUUCUAACACUCCUCCUUGAGAUUUGCCUUGGACAUACCAAGCUUCAACCUUAGGAACUCCAGCCUUGAUUUAGGAAGUCCUUUAGUCAUUAUGUCAGCAAGUUGCUCAUCAGUUGAGCAAUAAUGCAACUUAACAAGUGAAUUCUUUUCAGCUUCCCUUAUGGAGUGGAAUUUUACAUUUAUGUGCUUGGUUCUGCCAUGUUGGACAGGAUUUUGAGUAAUGGAAAUGGCUGACUUAUUGUCACAGUAAAGCUUAGUUGGUGAGCUUUGUUCCUGGCCUAAAUCAACAAGCAAUUUUCUCAACCAUAUUGCUUGAUUUGCAGCAGCUGCUAAGGAGAUAUACUCAACUUCUGUAGUUGAUUGUGCCACUACUUCUUGCUUUCUUGAAUUCCAGCAUAUGACACCUAAACCGAUUGUAAAUACAUAACCUGAAGUGCUCUUCAUAUCAUCAACACUUCCUGCCCAAUCACUAUCAGCAUAACCAUCUAGCUUAACUCCUCCUGUCUUUAAAUACCAAAUGCCAAGAUUUGUUGUACCUUUAACAUACUUUAGCACCUUCUUUGCAACUCCCAUGUGAACAUUUCUAGGUGAACUCAAGAACCUUGAAAGCAAACUAGCUGGAAACAUCAAGUCAGGUCUAGUUACUGUCAAGUAUAGUAGGCUGCCCACCAAGCUUCUAUAUGUAGAGGGUUUCUCAAGUUUCUCACCAUCAUUCUUUGAAAUUUUCUCAUUUUGUGCUAGCGGAGUUGCUACUUCUUUGCAUGAUUCUAGCUUGAAUUUCUUGAGAAUAUCCAUAGCAUAUUUUCUUUGUGAAAUGAAGAUACCCCAACUGCAUUGGUAUAUUUCCAUUCCAAGGAAUUAGUUCAUGAUGCCAAGGUCAGACAUCUCAAAUACAUCCUGCAUUUCCAUUUUGAAAUCAGCUAGCAAUUUUACAUUGCUUCCAGUCACUAGCAUGUCAUCAACAUAAAGUGAUACUACCAGUUGCAAACCAUCAUCAUUUUGUUUCAAAUACAACGUAGCUUCAUUUUCACUCCUCCUAAAUCCAAGUUGGAUCAGAUGAGAAUCAAUUCUGCUAUACCAGGCCCUUGGUGCUUGCUUCAAACCAUAGAGAGCCUUAUGUAGCUUGUACACUUUAUGUUCAUGGCCAAUAACCUCAAAGCCUUUUGGUUGUUGAACAUAAAUUUCUUCAAGAAGUAUACCAUUUAGAAAAGCUGACUUGACAUCUAAAUGGUACACUUUCCAUCCCAUUUUACCAGCAAGUGCAAGUAGUAGCCUUAUAGUGUCAUGUCUGGCUACUGGUGCAAAUGUAUCACCAUAGUCCACUCCAGCAAUUUGAGCAAAACCCUUCACAACCAAUCUAGCCUUAUGCCUGAAGAUUGAACCAUCUGAAUUAAAUUUGGUUCUGAAAACCCAUUUUACACCAAUUGCAUUCUUAGCUUCAGGUAGUUCUGUCAACUUCCAGGUUCCAUUUCUUUCAAUAGCAUCAAUUUCAGCUUUCAUGGCCUCAAUCCAUUAUAGAAAUCUUGCAGCUUCCGUGUAACAUGUAGGCUCAGCAUGUACAAGAUUGCACCUCUCAUACACAUCAGAUAAUGGCCUCAUCUUAAGCACGGGUGUGUCUGAAGUUGCUUCAACAUCAAGUGGACCUUCAAUGAUUGUACUUUCUAUUGCUGGUUCAAGAAUAGAUGGAGUGGUUUGAUCACAUUUAUGAACUUUCUUCAAGUCCCAAUUCCAGUAGGAGUUUUCAUCAAAGUGCAUAUCUCUACUUAUCACGAUUUUCGUUAUACUCAAGCUAUAAAUUCUGUAACCUUUUGAUUCAGCUGCAUACCCAACAAAAACACCUUUCUCAGCUCUUUCAUCAAGCUUCCCUCUCUUGACAGAUGGCACAUGAAGAUAACAAAAUGAGCCAAAAACUUUCAGGUGCUUGACAGAAGGUUUUACACCAGACCAUGCCUCUAUUGGUGUUUUGCUCUAAACAAACUUAGUUGGUAGUCUGUUAAGCAAAUAUACUGAGGUGUUGACUGCUUCAGCCCAUAGAAGUUUUGGUAGCUUCUUCUCGAAUAGCAUGCACCUUGCCAUUUCCAUCAUGGUUAUGUUCUUCCUCUCAGAGACUCCAUUCUGCUGUGGUGAGUAUGGAGCUGUUAGCUGGUGUACAAUUCCAGCUUCUUGACAAAAGACAUUGAACUCUUUUGAGAUAUACUCACCUCCAUUAUCAGUUUUGAGCACCUUACCGUUCUGGCCACUUUGAGUUUCAACCAUUUUCUUGAAGCUUUUGAACACAGAGAACACUUGUGACUUGGUUUUUAGAAAAUAAACCCAAGUCAUUCUACUGAGAUCAUCAAUAAAUAAUGCAAAAUACACAUUAUUGCUCAAUGAGGUUGUGCUCAUUGGUCCACAAAUAUCUGAAUGAAUUAAUUCUAGCUUGUGAGUAGCUCUCUUGGACAUAUUUUGAGGGAAUGGUUGUCGUUGUUGCUUCCCUAGCUCACAACUUUCACAAGUUUGAGCAUUAACUGAGAUUUCAGGCAUGUCUUCAACCAUACCAGCUUCUUGCAUUAACCUCAGUGACUUCAAGUUGAAAUGACCAUAUCUUUUGUGCCAAACAACACUCUCAUCAAUCUUAGCACUAAAGACAUGACCUUCAACUAAAUCAAGCUUCAAAUAAAAGCUAUUUCCAUUCAUUUUAAUUUUUGCUAUCUCUUUUCCGUGUACAUUAGUGAUCAAACAAAAAUUUUCUUUGAAAGAGACUGCAUAUCCAUUUCUUAGCAUUUGUGCAACACUAAGAAGAUUCUGAUCUAAAUCUGGAAUGUAAAGAACAUUAGUGACAAUUUUUGUACCUCUCUUGGUGCUGAUAGAAAUUGUCCCUUUUCCUUUGGCCUGCACAACUUCACCAUUUCCCAACUUGACCUUUGGUUGAACUGAUCUAUCAAUGGAGGUAAAUAUUGACAAAUAUUUGGUCAUGUGACUCGUGCAGCCACUGUCAAUGAGCCAAGUAUUCAGUUCAUGAGAACUGAGUGCUUGUGAUGCCAUAAAUAAAUGCUCAUCAUCAUUUUUGUCUUCUUCAGUCACACUUGCAUUUUGUUCUAGUUGUUGUUGAGAUUGUUUUUUCUUGGCUCUGCAAUACUUCUCACUGUGGCCAAGUUUAUUGCAGAAAUUACAAUUAAAGAGAGGUUUACCUUUGUGCCAACAAUCUUUCUCAGCAUGGUUGGUUCUUCUACAAUGAGAGCAAGACGAAAAUUUUCCUUUUCUUGAAGACCCUUCACCUUUCCUUUUGUUGUUCUUGAAGAACUUCUUUCUUUGCAAGUUUCUAGAAUUCUUUCCCUUGUGAUUUGCUUGAAAAGCACCUUCAGUAGCUUCAUCACCUCUCAUUAAGACCCUUUGCUCCUGUGCAUGAAGCUUGCUGGUUAACUUUACAAUUGUGAGAGUUCGCAAGUCACAAGACUCUUCAAUUGCAGAAAUCUUGGCUUCAAACUUUUGAGGCACUGAAACCACAAUCUUUUCUACCACCUUUUGAUUUGUAAAUGCCUCACCAAGAAGCCGCAUUUGGUUUACAACAUCCAUUAACCUUCCAGAAUAAUCUUUGACAGAUUCGUCGUCUUUCAUCUUCAUCAACUCAAACUCUCUCUUCAAUGUGAGGAGUCUAACAGUUUUGACUCUUUCACUGCCCUCAAAUUCACCUUGGAGCUUGUCCCAUACCAGUUUAGGUGUUUCCAAGUUCAUGAUUUUGGUGAAGAUGUGGUCUGCAAGUCCUGAAUGUAGGCAGGUGAUGGCUUUGUCUUUCUUAAGUUUUUCUUCCUCAUAUGCUUUCAUCUGAGCAACUGUAGGAUUUGCUCCCAAUGGUGGUGGAUCAGCUUCAGACAUCACAACAUUCCACAAACCUUGAGACCUUAAAUAAAACCUCAUCUUGACAGCCCAAAUGUGAUAGUGUUCACUAUUAAACACUGGAAUUAUAGAGGAAGUAUUGCUAGAAGGAGACAUGUUUGCACCACAGUUGCUUAAAAAAAAAAAAGAUCACUCAACCUCACUAGUGUUUGCACUCAACCUCACUGUGUUUAAUACUAAAAAAAAAUUUGCCUCACAGCCCGUAGGAAUAAUGCUUUGAUACCACUGUUAAAAUCUGGAGAAAAAUAAGGAACUAAAACUUGCAGAAAAUAUUAGAGUAUUGAGUUGGAGAAAGGCACACAAUAUUUCACCAAUGAGAAUGCCUAUUUAUAGGCUUACAACCAAACUGAAAAUGCUAAAAACUCUCAGCUGCUAUGACUACUUCUACUAAUAGAAAAACUGAAAAUUAUGGAGCAAAACAGAGACUGAGUCUAACUAAGACAUUUUCAAAGGCAAACUCUCAUGAAUUCUAACACAUUCCAUGUCUUAAUGAAUAAUUCUCUUUCAGAUGGAGCUAUUUAUCAAAAGAAAAAAAUCUCUUUUAGAUGGAGCUAGUUUUUGCAACAACACUAUAAAUCUUGACAUCAUGUAUUCAAUAUAAAAGAUGUAUUAUAACAUGGAGUAAGGAUGACAAUUUGUGUUAGUGGUCAUAUUUAUGUCAUGUCAAAGCUUAGACAGAUGUUAAAUAAGUCAUUUCAAGCACAACACGAAUAAUUAUUAUAUUAAAAAUAUAAACUCAUAUAUUCUAUAUAAUUAUUAAACAGAUAACAUUUUAGUAACUCAUUUAAUAACCAAAUUAAUUUAAAUUUCAUGAAUCUAUAUGAUUAGUGUUCAAAUUAGAUAUGCUUAUAAUUCAAUUGAUUUAUUUAUUUAAAUCAAAUUUAAAAUGAGUAAAAUAUGGUUAAAUAGUUUAAAAUUGUAAUUAGAUUAAUCAAUAUGAUUAUUAGAGGGACUAAUUCCAUCAAAUUUCGUAUUAUGUGGGUUGAUCCAAAAGUUACCUAUUAUUUCUUAUAUAGAUUAUGUGGGCAUUCGAAAUUUGAUCCCAAUAUGACUACACUCAUCCUAAACCCACAAAAAAUGCAUUGGGUUCUAAUUAAGGCUGCUGCAGUUGCUUAUUCGGAUGGUCUGUAUAGAAAAGCCCAUGCUGCUCAGGAUAGGCUGAUCCUUCUAAAGUAUUUCACAUCAGGACAGGAUGAUGCGCAGCUCCAAUGCAGUAGGCAAGUGCAGGAGCCAUUUUUGGAUGAUCCAAACCCCUGCAACCUUACGAAGAGGACUCAAAAAAUCCUAUAAACCCCCCAACAUCCAGGAUGCCAAAAAUCUUGCUAUUGCUCCCCUAAAUCUAGGCCACCCUGUUUUAUCCUUACUAUCAAAAUGCCAAACCAUGGCCCAUUUCAAUCAAAUACAUUGCCUAAUGAUCACCACUGGCAUGUCCCGUGAUGCUUUUCCGGCUAGCAGAUUACUUAUAGCUAGUUCAUUCUCUUUGAGUCCUCCAAACAUUCACCUGGCUUAUGUUGUAUUUUCGCAAAUGCAAAGCCCUGAUGUAUACUCAUACAACAUUAUGAUUAAGGCCUUUUCACAAACUUCACAUCCACUUGAUUCCCUCCACUUUUACCACAAGCUGCUCCACCAAGGCCUAUACCCCAAUGAGUACACUUUCUGUUUUGUGCUCACUUCAUGUGCCCAAGCCUUGGCUCUCCAAGAGGGCAAACAAAUACAAGCCCAGUUAAUCAAACACCUGUCUUUGGGCACUGUCUAUGCUAGCACCUCUCUUGUUCGCUUGUAUGGCAAAUGUGGUGACAUCCGUAGGGUAGAGCUUUACAAGCAUUCGGGGAAAUGUCUCACAGAACCGAGGUCUCAUGGGGCGCAGUAAUUGAUGCUUAUAUUGAUCAAGGUUUUUUGACGGAUGCAUUGCAAUUGUAUGCAAAGAUGAGGAGUUUGGGACAUUCAGCAAGCAAUGCAAUCUUGGUGGGGGCAUUUGGUGCUUGUGCUAAGCUGCAGGACUUGGCACUGGGGAGGAUUAUUCCUGGGCAAGUUGAGGCCAUGGGGCUACAACUCAAUGUGACCCUUGGAACAAGUCUGGUUGACAUGUACUCAAAAUGUGGAGCUAUCGAAAUGGCCAUGGAGGUAUUCUCUAGGAUGCCUGUGAAAAGUGUUGCAUCAUGGAAUUGCAUGAUCAACGGUCUGGCAAUGAAUGGUGGGGGAAGCGCAGCAAUUGGCUUGUUUAAGGAGAUGCAGGCGUCUGGUUUGGGACCCAACAGUGCAACCUUUGUGGGUGUCCUGCAUGCAUGCAGUCAUGGAGGGCUAGUGAAUGAAGCACUCGAAUUCUUUUCGUGUAUGAGUGAGUUGUACGGGAUUGAAACUAAUGUUAAGCAUUAUGGGUGCAUGGUUGAUCUCUAUGGCCGAGCUGGGAAGCUUGAGAAGGCCGUGGAUGUCAUCAGAACGAUGCCCAUGAAACCGGAUAUUGUAAUAUGGGGAGCAUUGUUAGGUGGGUGCAAGGAGCAUGGCAACGCAAAGCUUGGGGAGCUGGUAGGAGCACAGAUUAUGAAGCUACAACCACAUAAGGUUUCCGGGUGCUCGAGUCUUUCGGAUAUGUAUGCGAUGGAUGGGCGAUUGGAGGACGUGAUCAGUGUAAGGAGGAUGAUGCUGGACAUGUAUGUUGGGAGGGAACCUGGAUGUAGCACCUUGACUUAAUUUUUAGUUAUCUGGAGAUAAUAAAUCCUUGGCAGAAUUACUUACCAAUCCCUCUCUUGAGAGAAUUCCAAGAAAAACUGCAGCACAAAUAGGAAUAGGGAAAUGGUCUCAGGUUUUAAAACACCUGCCAACCAAAAGUAGUUUUAAUUCUGAAACAUGGUUGAGAGGUACCGGAAAUUUGUAACUUGAAAUUUUCUGGGAAAUAGUGGCUUCAAUUCUCAUAGACUGUAUUUACAUCAGAGAUGCCAUAAGUUCGGUUCAUAUUAGCCUGCAAAUCCAACCUAGCAAACAAAAAACUACUUCAACUCCUCCAAGCCUAGAAUCCAACUCCCCUGCCCGGGGCAUCUUAAGAGGAUACAGUACUGUCAUCAUAUUUGUAGGGACUCUGUACAACAAAUUAGUUUAUCAUACUGAAGGCAAGAAUUGACAUUUUUCUUUUCCUAUUUUUGACUUCAUGCCCCCCUGGACCCAUAGAUCAGAUUACAGCUGAUAUGGAAAUUCAUGGAUCUGGCUUUCAAUUCUGAUUCCCAGAGCUCAAAACUUGCUUUCAAGUCAAGCCCAACAUACAGGUGUUGGCUGGACAUAAAGGUACCCCUGAGGAAAGAUAAAAGAAAAAGGAAGAAGAUGCUUUAAUCUAUUGAAUACUCAGACGUCAGCAGAAAGGAGUAAGUUAAAGACUGUAAAUUCUAGCUUCAGAAAUACACAUGAUUUUGAUGAAUAAAAAAUGACAAUUUGCCAAUCAUGAGCAGUUUUUGUCAGGCAACAUUAAUUUCACCUUGACCUCAAUUUAUCAAUCUGAAGCCUUUAAUUUUCUGGGUCUUUUAGACUGAGCCGGUGAUGGUGGAGCAGGUGCCUUGAGAACCAGGACUACAAAUAAAAACAAUAUUACAAUUCAGGCAAGAGGGUGAAACAAGGAAGACAUAUAAAAAUGAUUAAAGGUAAACAAAACAGAAAAAAACUGAUACUUACCUUGCGUUUCUGGUCCCUUUUGCCAACUCUUUCACCUAAAAUCCAAUCAUAUUAUUAAAUAGUUGCAGAAAAGUUCAUUGAUUUUAUCUAAAAAUAAAAACCUAUAAAAAGGAAAAAUACUAUGCUAUAUAAAGAAAACUCAAAAACACCCAUUAUCACAUAAUAUAUCACCUCCAAAACUUAUGGAGUCAGGAAUAAAUGUCCGAUCCUGUUCCCCAGUGCGGUGGGAUCGCUGUCAAUAGUUUCAUAGACCAAAUCAAACCAAAAUUUUAGAUUCAAAAGAUGCAGACAUAUAUAUUUGCAAUAAACUCAUUCUUUGAAUGACAAACUAGCAUGUGUAGCUCCAUAAUUAGAAGGGAAAAAAUCAGUACACUCACCUUAGGUGUGCCUGGUGUUUCAGCAUAUGAACCAUCACGAUGCGAAGAACCUUCUGCUUCCUUGUAUUGCAACUGAUCAUCAAACACAUAGAGGUUAAACAUCUACACUAUCUAUUCAGUGCAGAACCCUGUGUGUCCCACUCUUACAAAUCAUACGAAGCAUUCCCUUAAGACCUUUUUCUUUAAUAAUAGAAACAGAUUAUAGCUAUACUUCCAUUGUCUCUGUUGAAUAUGACUAUGGCAUAUGAAUGUCAUGUCCUAAUAAACCUCUUUUAAGACCUGUUAUUUUAACUGCUAAACCUAUUGCUGAUAAAUCACAAUUCUCAUGCCUCUCCUUCCUAACCAAUUAUAUACUCCAGGUUCCAAUAUUGAAUUUGGAAAGAAGGGAUCCUGAGGAGAAAUGAAAGCAAUUGAAUGAACAUUAUUAAUUCCAAUUUUUGAAACCGAUAGGACCUGUAAAUGGAAAAGGAUUUCAAAUCAUGUGGUAGCCUCUUAUGAAAGUGCUGAAUUCCAUAUAGAAAAGGCUGAAUCUGAUUUAAAAUUCAUUAAAAUAGAAGAUAAGAUACAAUUUCUGGUUUUUUGAAAUCAUCCUUAUUAUUCUCUGUUCUUUGCAACUUGUUAUGUGUUUCUUCCCUUAUUCCAUCAUUAUUACCAUUGUUCUUCUCUUGGUCCACCUUUAUCAUCAUUGGUCACUUGGAUUAAGAUUUUUAGAUUUUUUACAUAUUUGAAAUCUCCAUAAAAUCAAAUGAGCUUGAUGAUCCUUUUUCUUUUCAGGUUUAGAAUAUUUUCUCUCUUAUAAACCUCUAAACCUAGAUGCAUAUGUGAUUUGUUAAUUUUUAAAUAUUUAACUAGAUUCUUAUUUAGAUAAGAAAGGAAGAUAGUUCCAUGGAAAUGUAUUAUAUCUUUUUUAUUUUUUUAAUGAGUCAAAUUAUUCUUUAAGUAGUUUAGGUUUAUUUGAUUUUGCAGGAUUUGAACCUUUUGUGGUGAAUCAGUCAUCCAUUAUUUAUAAAUCUAGGAUAAUAAAUAAAUUCAUACAUUGCAUUUAAAAUAAUACAUUUUUUCUUAUGAUUUUAGAAGUUCUACAAUGGUGUGUGUGUGUGCGUAUACACACAAAAAUCGGUUUCUUUUCCAUUGCGUACACACACAAUGGAAAUAUAUGCUAAGAAAGAAGACCCUGUUGAAACAAGGUACACUGGAACUGUGUGAAAGGGAGAGAAAAAGCAAGAAGAGCGGAAGAUCUUACUCCAAAUUAAUUUCAUUGUGGCUAACAGCAAAUCAGAUAGCUUGCUCGCUCGGUUGACAGAAUUGAUUGUUUCCGGGGCGGAGAUGGUGUUGAACUUUCUCCUAAACUACAGAUAUGGUCCUUCCCGUCUUAGUGAGAAAGUGGAUGAACAGCUGGGGGAAAUUCGGUUGGUUGACACACUAUCUAAUAUUCUUGUCCCUGCUUUUGAUAUUCAACACCUUAAACUAGUCGCCUUCUCUUCUCACCAGGUCAUCAAUUUUUUACAUGAUCAAACAUUAGUAUUCAUUCUUCUCAUAUUUGUAUUUUUCAUAGCAUAAGACUUCGAGCCUAUAAUGUUGGUUUUAAAAUCCACCAUCGUGCAAACAUAAUGUCCUGGUUAUGUUUCAAAGGAUUGCAAGGUCAAAUAAACAAAGACAAGGUUGGUGAUCAACUUUAAUAUCAUUUGUAAUAACUCUUGUUCCCAAUCGUGUGGAUAUUGUUCUUUCUAGGCCAAAGGGUCUCACAGCUUCAAAACACAUCAAGAUGAUUAAGAGGAGCUCAUAUAUAGAUAUAGCGUUAAGAACUUUCUUCCUUUCCAUUGUGGGAGGAUAUCACAUAUGAUGCAGGUAAUUGCAUUUAUGGUUGCAGGUAAGAAAGGCAAACUCAUCAAUAAAAUUGAGAGAUGUAGUUAUGAGCUCAGCUGCAGCUCCAGUUUAUUUCCCAUCGCAUAAUUUCAAAGCUGAUGGCAGACUGUACAACCUUGUGGAUGGUGGACUUGCAGCCUACAAUCCUGUAAAUCUUUUUCAUGCACAGGCCUUUAUGGGAUCAUAUUUUAAAGAUUUGUUGCCAUUUGUAUGCACAAUUCAUUCAUUAUGCUUGAUGAAGCUAUCCCUUCUGCGCAGACAUUGCUUGCAAUACAAGAAGCAGCCCACAUAUUUGGAAACCGAGAUUAUAAUAACUGUCUGGUUGUCUCCCUUGGUACUUGCUCUGAAGAAGAAGAACAUCACAACUUCAUUAAUUUAAAGGGUCAACUUCCUUGGAUAAUAGACCUGAAAAGAGGAACAUCACCUUUAGCCAACGCGCGGCUUAAGACCAGCUGACAUGCUAGAUGCAUACACAUUAUUUGUCCUUGGAGUUGGAGGCUGGAUUUCUAGUCAGAAAUUUCUCGGAAUCUAGGUAAUUAAAUGCACUUACAUAAAAUACUGAGCAAUCCAAACAAGUUCCCAUCAAAACUGAAAGAUCAAGAUAUAGGAGCGAAUUCUAUCAGAUUGAUCUCAAUGUUUACAUUACUAAGGAAAAGAAAAUUUGAACAAAGACAAUACAUUGAAGCCUGAGCAGCUCAAAAUGUAUGAUGCAAGUAAGGAAAACUUCAAUAGCAAGAUUGAUACCGCUCAAAGACUUCUAGAGAAGCUUGUUUCACUCCCAAGCUCGGUGAUUGGUCUGCAGCCAAUGAAUACCAACCAAGAUGCUCUCAUGAGGUAAUGAGCUAAUAAGAAAGGUGAUUGAAAGCUUGUAUAGUAAUGAUUUUAAAAAGCGUUUCUAAUUUUUUUUAAUAUUUAAAAAUAUUUCUUUGAAUAAAAAUUUUCUUAAUUGUUCAAAAUUUUUCCUAAAAUCAUUAUUAAAUAAAUUCUUACAAUUUGAUAUCAAUGGAUAUUUAUGAGUCAUUAUUCACUUUGCUACCAUUCUCACAUUAUCAGCCAUUUUAACUAGAUAUUGGUUGUGAUUUCUCCCUUCAGCUUUGGUGGAGUCCUAUGGAUGAAAAGAAGAGGGGUACGUCUCCAUCCUAUGUCUUUGACUUCUUAAUGUAUUCAAUCAUUUGUUCUUUUUUUCUCCUUUUUCUUUACAAGCUUUAUAUUGUGUUUUACCAGUAAAAGAAGGAAAAAAAAACACUUAGAAUUUGACGUUUGAGGAUAUGGCUAUUGCUAGUUCUCAACCAUGAGAAAUAAUGGAUGUACAUUACACAUCUUAAUGAAUAAUUGUCUUUCGGAUAGAGCUAUUCUUCACAAUAGCACUGCAAAUCUUGACAUCAUGUAUUCGGGAUAAAAGAUGUAUUAUGACAUGGGAUAUGGGUGGCAAUUUGUGUUGAUAGUUGUAUUAAUGUCUUGUCAAAACUUAGACAUAUACCAAAUAAGUCAUUUCCAAUAUGACAUAAAUAAUAAUUACAUUAAAAAUAUAAAUUUACAUACUAUAUAAUUAUUAAACAGAUAAUAUAUCGUAUAACCCAUUUAAUUCAUUUACUAAUCGGGUUGACUUAAAUUUUAUACAAGUCUAUAUGACUAAUGUUUCAACCACAUAUGUUUAUGAUUUAAUUGAUUUAUUUAUUUAAAACAAAUUUAAAAUGAGUAAAAUAUGGUUACAUAGUUUAAAUUUGUAAUAAAUGGAUUGAUUUUAUCAAAUUCAUGUUAUGUAAGUUAAUUGAAAAGUGAUUUAUUUAUUAAAUAGAUUAUGUGGGUCAAUCAAAAUUUGACCCAAAUAUGAUCACACUUAAUCUAAAUCCAUAUAAAACAUGUUGGGUUUUACAACGAAUUAUAUCAAACUUUAUCACCCUUAACAGGUGACCACCUGACCCUAAAUAAAUGAAUGUAACUAAGGCCAUUGCAGUUGCUAAUUCAGAUGGUAUAUAUGGAAAAGCCCAUGCUGCUCAGGAUAGGCUGAUCCUUCUAAACUAUUUCACAUCAGGACAAGAUGAUGCACAGCUCCAAUGCAAUAGACAAGUGCAGAAGCCAUUUUUGGAUGAUCCAAACCCCUGCAACCUUAGGAAAAGGACUCAAAAAAUCCUAUAAAUCCCCCAACGUCCAGGAUGCCAAAAAUCUUGCUAUUGCUGCCCUAAAUCUAGACUACCCUGUUUUGUUCCUACUAUCAAAAUGCCAAACCAUGGCCCAUUUCAACUAAAUAAAUUGCCUAAUGAUCAUCACUGGCAUGUCCAGUGAUGCUUUUCUGGCUAGCAGAUUACUUAUAGCUAGUUCAUUCUCUUUGAGUCCUCCAAACAUUCACUUGGCAUAUGUUGUAUUUUCAUAAAUACAAAGCCCUGAUGUGUACUUAUACAACAUUAUGAUUAAGGCCUUUUCACAAAGUUCACAUCCACAUGAUUCCCUCCACUUUUACCACAAGCUGCUCCACCAAGGCCUAUACCCUAAUGAGUACACUUUCUGUUUUGUGCUCACUUCAUGUGCCCAAGCCUCGUCUUUCCAAGAGGGCAAACAAAUACAUGCCCAAUUCAUCAAACACCUAUCUUUGGGCAGUGUCUAUGCUAGUACCUCUCUUGUUUGCAUGUAUGGCAACACAAAAUAGCAAGUGAUGGUCCAAGUGACUAACCCCUGCAUACAACAUAAAUUAUCAAGUUUCCUUAGAAGAAUAAUGCAAUGUUUUCACAUAUAUUGCUGAAGCACCUGCCCAAAGAUAUUGAUGUUUGCUUAGAGAUAGUACCAAAGGUGAAAUAACCUGAAUAUGCACAUUAGAAAGAUCAAUCAACACCUGUAGUGUUCAAGUGACCAUUCUCACAUUGAGCGUAAUGAAUAUGCCCUUACUUCAUAAUGGGAAUCUCAGCCAGUGGGCACCCAAGGCCUACAAUGAAGGCUAGGGCAAACCCCUGCCUGGUCCUAUCCAGAAAAAACCAUAUAAACUCAGCCACUGAAAAUAAUAUGUAGGCCUCAAUGUUGUCUGCCACUCCAAGCUUUGUACAUUUCAGCUAAAUAGCAUCAGUGCUCUCGUUUAAACCAGUAUACAGAUGUUAGAAAUCAAAUACAAUCUUGCUUAUAAAAUUGGAAAAGAAAAAGGAAAUUAAGCCAAUUUCUCAGCAUCUGAAGUGAGUUGUUUUUUAAGUGAAUUUGUCUCCUGAUUCCUGGUUGAGAUGAUUGAGAAACAGAACCAGAACUCACAUCAGUGAAAAAGCUGUUUUCUCUAGGCUUCCCUCUGGAGCCCUGGAAGAGAACUUCUCAUUCAGGAAGAGUUGCAGCAACCUAACAGUAUAAUGUAACAAUCCAAGCAAGGGAGGAACCUACCAACAUCAACAACCGAAUGGAAAUUAAAAAAAUAAAUAAAAUUGCUCAACCACACUGUGUAGUCCUUUAAAAGAAGCUGCACCUAACAUUUCUCUUAAGAAAAAUCAGUGAACAACAGUAACAAGCAUCAUUCAUGAAGCUGAUGAGCAGGUUCCAAGAAAUUCAAUUUAUCCAAAUAUUUAUGUGAAUCGGACUGAUGUUGAUGGACCCAUUUUGGUAUACCACAAGAUUUACCCUUGAAUGAAUUCCAUCAAUGAGGGUACCCAAGAAGAAACCUGAACCAAAGAGUGAGAGAGAUGGUUGGCUAGGCCUCUGUGAGACUAGUUUUGCUCUGUUUUCCCAGAGUGCAAUAAGGUCCAGAAUCUAAAUAUUUGAAAUUGGAUUUCCUAUGCUUUUUCUGGCUACAAGGAGAUCUAAACAUAGAUUGUUUAGAAUUGUAAAGGUUUGGGGAAUUGGGGGGAAAGCUGCUAGAGGAGCACAAAGCAGUGAGGCUUUGCUUGUUUCCCCUCACAUUUGGAAGUUCAAACUAUUUCAUAUUCUUGGGAAUAAUUUGGGUUGAAGACUCUGUCG
rnacentral:lncRNA from 1 species